rnacentral:tRNA from 1 species
GGAGAGGUACCCAAGUGGCUGAAGGGGCGGCUUUGCUAAAGCCGUAGCAGGUUCGCCUGGCGGGGGUUCGAAUCCCCCUCUCUCCG